CCCAGGUCUCUUUUUCCCUUUCCCCGUCCGAGUGACGGUGCCGUCGCUUGCUCCCGCAGGCCGCAAGCCUCCCUGCUCCGGCAUGCCGCUCCAUCACCGUGCUCCGCUCUGCUGCCCGAUCCCCUGAUCCAGGGCACCGCCCAACCCCAUCCGGAUUCCCCUUCCUGUGUACGGGCGCUGCCCCCUGCCCGAUUCCGCGGGCUGCGGCUCUUCUAUGUGCGGUGCUCUCCCGCAUUUCCUCCUUUGCCGGUUCACCUCCGCGUGCUGAAGGAAAAGGCCGCUUAUGCAUGAUUACCACACAUCGAUUGCUGUAAAAGAAAAGGGUUCUCAGUGCCCUAGAGCCUCCCUCCUUACCUGACUCACCAUCUGCCUUCUGCUCCCCUCACUCUACCAGAUUUAUUUAUCCAGGAAGGUAAGUUUCAAGUUUGGGUCUCUAUUGCGUUAGUUUCUAAUUUUUCUGCUUCCCUCGAGUCCUAACGUGUUCUCUCAUAUGCUGUUCAGUUGCUUCUCAUGAUUGCUGUCAGGUAAUAGAGCCAUAGUAGCUUUUUUACAUGUGUAUUGCAGGUAAAAAGGUUAUAGCACUGAUAAUUGUUUUUUAGCAUUGGAUUUUGUGCAUUUCCUAAACUGACUGGAUCAAUCUCUUAUGAAAUUCCAUCCUGAUUCGAGUUGAUUGCUGUCCUUUGGUGACCAUGGGGCAAGUUGGGUAUGUUUCCCUCCUGUUCAUACUUUUUUCCAUUUCUAAUGUGACAGAUACCAGGCUUGCCUGAGUUGUAAGCUCCACGGUUGACAUCUAAAAUGUUACCGUUGAGUAUCUUUAAUUAGGGAAAGGGUUCUCAAGCAUAUGUGUUGUUAUUGAAUUAGGAAUUUAAAUUCCAGUCAACAAAAAUGAUUUAUUUACAUAUUUUUGCACUUCACUAAAGCUGUCAUAGACAGCUUGUAGAAACUAGAAAGGAUGGAAAGAUGCAUCCAGCAUUCAAAUUUACCUCUCGAAUAAACAACCAAGAAAUUAGUUCUUCAGUUGAAUCUCCAUGUGCAGUGCUCCAUUUUUUUUUACCUUAUUCGUAUGAUCAGUUUGUGUUUGCUAGACCAGGAUUGCUUAGUUAAUUACAGUUUUGGGGUUUGCUUGUUACUGGCUGCUAUUACUUCAGAGCUGUUCUAGAGGCAAUUUAACAGUGCUUUCUUUUAGAGUUGUUUGCCGUACAAUUUUAAUCCUUUCUUUUACCUAUCAAUUCAAUUUGAUGGCUGCUUUGGAUGUGUCUACGGUGACAUGAAAGAAGGGUCCGUUUAUCGGAACCAUGCAAGUCUGAAUAAAGAUACAUGAUGAACUAGAACUAAAAGGAUCUUUUAAGGCUGGUGAGGCCAACGGAACUAUCAACGGUUUUCCAAGUGAUGUAAUAAGCAAUAUAAUAAUAAAUACGGUGUGUCUUAAAAAUCCUCCAUGCAUAAGAGGCCAGUCAAUUAGCUAUUGACCAAAGUGUCACCUGGAGUGUUGUAUCGAACAAUAUCUUUUCCCGGUAAAGCACAUUAAUAAGCAGGAAUGGAAAUCACCAAGUGCAGACUAUCGUUUUAUUAAUUUUCGACACUGCUGUUGUAUGUAGCACAAGUAAAAGGUCAUUGAAAAGGUGACCUCGAAGAAAAGGUCAGUGUGCUCUCAGUUACUGACCGAUCUCCAGACCAUUGCAGGGGAUUCGAUUUAUUUGACAACAUGCCAACAAGAAGUUGAUGAACAACCACACGCUGUUAGCCAUGGUGCUACACACACCAGAUAGCUUCGCUUCCAAAAGGCAAAUAUGUAUAGAGCAUACUAAUGCACUGGACACUCUUUAAACCUUUAUGUUCGUUGCAAAAAAAAUUGAAUGUUUAAGGUAGAGAGAUACAGGUUCAUAAUUUGUUGUAUCAUGCGGUCUCCAAAUGUAUGAUAUAUACGCAAAAGACUGUAGAUCUGUAUGAAACGUUUAUGAACAUGGAGGGAUUGGGAACUUAAUGAA